rnacentral:rRNA from 1 species
GACGAACGCUGGCGGCGUGCUUAACACAUGCAAGUCGAACGGUAAGGCCCUUCGGGGUACACGAGUGGCGAACGGGUGAGUAACACGUGGGUGAUCUGCCCUGCACUUCGGGAUAAGCCUGGGAAACUGGGUCUAAUACCGGAUAGGACCACUGCCUGCAUGGGUGGUGGUGGAAAGCUUUUGCGGUGUGGGAUGGGCCCGCGGCCUAUCAGCUUGUUGGUGGGGUGAUGGCCUACCAAGGCUACGACGGGUAACCGGCCUGAGAGGGCGACCGGUCACACUGGGACUGGGACACGGCCCGGGCGCCUACGGGAGGCAGCAGUGGGGAAGAUUGCGCAAGGGGCGAAAGCCUGACGCGGCGACGCCGCGUGAGGGAUGAAGGUCUUCGGGUCGUAAACCUCUUUCAGCACCGACGAAGCGCAAGUGACGGUAGGUGCAGAAGAAGGACCGGCCAACUACGUGCCAGCAGCCGCCGUAA